rnacentral:rRNA from 1 species
GACGAACGCUGGCGGCGUGCCUAAUACAUGCAAGUCGAGCGCAGGAAACCGUCUGAACCCUUCGGGGGGACGACGGCGGAAUGAGCGGCGGACGGGUGAGUAACACGUAAAGAACCUGCCCACGGGUCUGGGAUAACCACGAGAAAUCGGGGCUAAUACCGGACGGGUCAUCGGACCGCAUGGUCCGAGGAUGAAAGGCGCUCCGGCGUCGCCCGUGGAUGGCUUUGCGGGGCAUUAGCUAGUUGGCGGGGUAAUGGCCCACCAAGGCGACGCGGCAUAGCCGGCCUGAGAGGGUGAUCGGCCACACUGGGACUGCGACACGGCCCAGACUCCUACGGGAGGCAGCAGUAGGGAAUCUUCCACAAUGGACGAAAGUCUGAUGGAGCAACGCCGCGUGAACGAUGAAGGCCCUCGGGUCGUAAAGUUCUGUUGUAAGGGAAGAAUAAGUGCCGCAGGCAAUGGCGGCACCUUGACGGUACCUUGCGAGAAAGCCACGGCUAACUACGUGCCAGCAGCCGCCGUAA